AGAAUCAACGCUGGCGGCGUGCCUAACACAUGCAAGUCGAACGAGAAAGUGGAGCAAUCCAUGAGUAAAGUGGCGACCGGGUGAGUAACACGUGACCAAUCUACCCUUGAGUGGGGGAUAACCUCGGGAAACCGGGGCUAAUACCGCAUAACAUCCUCGGGACGGAAGUACUGGGGAUCAAAGGAGCAAUUCGCUUAAGGAGGAGGUCGCGGCUGAUUAGCUAGUUGGCGGGGUAAUGGCCCACCAAGGCAAAGAUCGGUAGCCGGCCUGAGAGGGCGCACGGCCACACUGGAACUGAAACACGGUCCAGACUCCUACGGGAGGCAGCAGUGGGGAAUUUUGCGCAAUGGGGGAAACCCUGACGCAGCAACGCCGCGUGGAGGAUGAAGUCCCUUGGGACGUAAACUCCUUUCGACCCGGACGAUAAUGACGGUACGGGUGGAAGGAAGCCCCGGCUAACUUCGUGCCAGCAGCCGC
rnacentral:rRNA from 1 species